GCUGGGCGCAGUGGAGCACACCUGUAAUCCCAGUGGCUCAGGAGGCUGAGGCAGGAGGAUCAAGUGUUCUAAGCCAGCCUCAGCAACUUAGUUGAGAUCGUGUCUCUA
rnacentral:sRNA from 1 species